GGCCGCAGUGGGGAAUAUUGCACAAUGGGGGAAACCCUGAGCAGCGACCCCGCUGAGGGGAAAAAGUUUUUCGAUUGUAACCUCUUCAGCGGGGAGGAAAUGACGUACCU
rnacentral:rRNA from 1 species